UUUUGUCGGUCAAAGGAAUCACAGGCCAAACAGAACUCAGGGGAUGGAGAACUAGAUCUCAGCUCUGGUUGGGAAGUGUUGCAAAGAUCCCACUGCUACCACCACCCUUCUUUCCUGGUUGUCCUCUCUCGGCAGAAGAACACAGUCUCCAUUCGCAAAGGCCCUGUUGUGGGUCCACAUUUGAUGAGUGCGGCAGUGAGGAUGCCGUCACAUCAAGCUCCUCUUCUACUCUCUUCAGCUCUCUUGAGGACAAAGAAGGGUAGGAAGUCCCAGGUGACAGGGAUGGCUCUAUCGUAGAGUGGAAGAGGUUGGCAGCCGUCCUACCAGAUGGUUUGACAUCCAAGAGAUGCAAUUGAGGGCUGCUUGCACCAAUCCCUAGAGCAUCCUUUCUAUCAGCAAUGCCACAAAACCACAGGUCUGUGUGGGAGCCGUCUCUGAGGAGGAUUCUGCGGCAUGAUUGUUUGGGAACAGCUCCCUGUGGUCUCCUGGGAGGUUAGCAAGGCCUGGGAGGCAGAGCCAGGGAGUUUUCCAGCUGGGAUCUAGAGGAGGAAAGGACAAUAGGCAAGAUAUGGCUCCCAAGGACUGGUUCUCAAAGGCCCCUCUCUGGAAGUAGGCUCAGCCUCUUCAGUGUCUAUGACCUCCCAAUAUUCCCUUAGAUUCUGGGCACAUGAAUGGACCAAGCCAUGGGUGAGGUCAGAACCCUCGCUAUCCACUCCCCAAAGCCCCAUCUCUGAAUAUUGCGGCCUUAGGGACCAAACCUUUAGUACAUGAGCUUUUGUGGGGCAGGGGGUGCAGUUCAGAUUCAAGUUUACGUCCAUCCCAUCAAGCAAGAUGAUCUCAGACUAUCACCAAGGACCCCAUAGUCUCAACAGCUCAAGCAUUAUGCAGAAGUUCAAGUCUUGCAAAGUCUCUUCUGACACUCAAGGCAACUUUUGGGAGUGAGACUCU